AGGGGGAGAAUUUCUUAAGAUAGGAGAUAGAGGAAGAUAUUUUCAUAUGAAUAAAUAUAUUAGAAUAUUAAUAAUAUUUUUUAUUAUUGUGAUUUUUUGAUUUUUUUUUAGUUUUGAAUUUUUAUGUUUUCUCAAAUUUUGAAUUUUCACUUUUUGCUAAAUUGUUCUUGGGAUAGAACUUGGACCGAUAGAAUCAGCACUUAAGAUGCACUUGAAGAUCCAUAAAGUCACUCACUUUUGUUUUAAUUGAUUCAUAUCUCUCACUUUUAAUGUAGAGAGAUAGACUCGGGAUGGAUGAAUCUGGUCAAAAACUCUAUUUACCAAAAUGCCCAACUUAAAAGUUUUCUUCAUCAUUGGCAAAAAUGUGGUAUCAUAAAUCAUAGUGAUUAGGGGCAUAAUUGAGCUAGAGCCUAAGUGAAUGGUUACAUCGAACCUAGAUUGUACGUGGACUUGUAUGUUUCUAAGGCUCGGGCUCCUUGCUAAUAGCUCCAUUACAAGAUUGAUGAUAGUUUGAGGUUGGUAAAGGGGCUUUAUAUUAGUUUUGUGAUGACUAUGGUUGUUUUAUUCUGUUAUAAAUUUAAUUUGAACAAAUAUAAUAAUUCAUCCAUUACAUUUAUAUUCAUAUUCAGUAAACAAAAUGGUAGAGAAGCUUAAUGAUAUCAAGAAAUGAUUGGACAUUACAUAUACAAGCAUGCUUGUGUAAAACGAGUUGGACAUGGUGAGUUUAGCAAUUCUUGAGCCUAGAUCAUUUGCUAAAAUGAGCAAGCCCUAACCAUCAUGCGGAACACUAAUCAUUCACAAAUGUCUAGGUCAAUUGGAAGUAAAUUGAUUGAACAUUCAACAAACCAAUAUGAUGCCAGGACCCUCAGAUGAAAUGGAAUUGGUUUUGUUUAAGAGAGGGAAGAAAUAAAAGAAGGCUAGAGUUGGUGGCUAGCUAGUAAGUCGUGAUAAAAGAAAUAUAUUGGGUUCAUAGAAUAGAUUAUCUUAAGAGCUUGCCUGAUUUUUUCACACCUUU
rnacentral:lncRNA from 1 species